rnacentral:rRNA from 1 species
AGUUCAAGAGUACGUGAAACUGUGUAGUAGUAAACGGAGGGGCUCUCGAAGUUGUCGGCGGUGGUUCAGGCAGAGGGUCUGUCGGCUUGGGUUUGGGCGAUCCGCAAGGACGCCCUGCCUUUGUUGGGCGGAUUCGCUGCUGCAAUCCACUGUCUCCUCACGCGACGAACCGUUCUUGCCGGACCGAGGGCUGGAGUGAAGUUUUCGGGAGCUUGCUCUCGGGAGCCUCCGGUUCCUGGCUUCGGCGGGGACGGGUAUUUGAGCGGUCUCGUAUAACGAGCAUCCUCGCUGAUGCGGGCCGCAUAUCUGUCGCUUUUUGGUCGGCGGCCCCUCCGACCCGUCUUGAAACACGGAAC